UUUUGCUGGGCAUCAGGUUUGUUCUUGCUUUCAACUUAUUAUUGCUCUUGCCAUACUGUUUGAAGUUUACGCUUGUCUGAACUCAAAAGUGGUUUAGUAUGACCUUUUAGCCGAUGGCAGGUUCUAGAUGGCCUGUGAAUGCCAGCUGAACUUGGCCCGCUUAUGAUAAUUCUAAAUAAUGCAACCUAUACCCUGCUAUGUUUUUCGAUCCAAUAAGCCUCCAAUCUUGUGAACCAGUUAGCCUAAAACAAUUUUAUGCUUUUAAAUAUUUAACUUAGCACCAGUCUGGUUGACUUCAGUUUGACAGAUUUGGAGGCUUAAUCUGAUGUGCAACAAUGUUUUACCAGUGUGUUGUUUAUGUGAAGUAGAAAACCAUAAAUAGAUGAGUCCUCUUACCUACAUGAUUGUUAUUUGAUUAAUUGGUUUUGUGGAAAAUUGUCGCUAUAAACUGCGGUUACUAUUUUGUGCCUUGUACAAUUUCAGGGUGAGGUUA
rnacentral:misc_RNA from 1 species